rnacentral:rRNA from 1 species
CACGUAGUUAGCCGGGGCUUCUUAGUCAGGUACCGUCAUCUUCUUCCCUGCUGAUAGAGCUUUACAUACCGAAAUACUUCAUCGCUCACGCGGCGUCGCUGCAUCAGGGUUUCCCCCAUUGUGCAAUAUUCCCCACUGCUGCCUCCCGUAGGAGUUUGGGCCGUGUCUCAGUCCCAAUGUGGCCGGUCGCUCUCUCAGGUCGGCUACUGAUCGUCGCCUUGGUGGGCCGUUACCCCGCCAACUAGCUAAUCAGACGCGGGCCCAUCCCAUACCACCGGAGUUUUUACCGCUGUGCCAUGCGGCACCGCGGUCUUAUGCGGUAUUAGCAGUCAUUUCUAACUGUUAUCCCCCGUAUCGGGGCAGGUUGCCCACGCGUUACUCACCCGUCCGCCGCUCAGUCAAACCGCCUUUCCUCCGAAGAUUCAAGGCCGAGUGCUUCGCUCGACUUGCAUGUGUUAAGCACGCCGCCAGCGUUCAUCCUGACGCCAGGACUCGAAACUCCUCUACGG